CAAGGUUUGCAACAGCCCUCGGUGGGAAAGCCCUCGGGGCUAGGCCGGCCAAGCCCGGCUGCCAGCCCUCCUCCUGCCAGAGAUGGGGAAACUGAGGCCCAUCGGGGCUGCAGGGCAGGCUGGCGGGGCAGGAGCGGAGUGAGAGAUUUGGAUCCGGGCCCUGGGAAGGCCUGAUCCGCUGGGCCCUGCUCUGAUGUCUGUUCCCUUUUCCCGUGUAAUCUCGGCCUUCAGAUAAGCCUAACCAGGGGCCUCUAAUCAAGGCUCAGGAUGCUCGAGUGGCCAGUGUGGGGGCCUGGGCAGCCCUUGUCCUGGAGCAGAGGUGAGAAGACUGGAGGCCAUUGGAAGCUAUGCUGGAUUUGAACCCAGACUCCAAAGCCUCCAGUCGAUGGUCUUCCCAGCACCCACAGGUGCAGGGAGGUAGGUGGUGUGCGCCAGCAGCUUUCUGUGCUGGGACCACCUGCCUGAGCCGCACUGAGGCAACUGGGACAAGUUGGUGUUGGUGUCGAUCGGUCCCUGGACUGUGCACCUGCCUGGGCUCUCCUGCUGGCAGAGAUGGAUGGACAGAACCUCACACGUUCAACAGGAAGGAGCUGUCCUCCUACAGGACUGGCUUCUGUCUCAGGCCUUAGCAAUGGCAGAAAUGACCUCCAACCACUGAGCAAGCGUGCGCAAGCCGGAGAGGGGCCGAGAGAGAAUCCCAAGCAGGCCCCAUCCCGGCAGCUCAGUCUAACGUGGAGCUCGGUCUCGUAGGCCGGGGGAUCAGGACCGGAUCUGAAACCAAGAGUCUGAUGCUUCAUUACCACCCAGGCGCCCCUGCAGGCAUUCUUUACACACCCCUCAUCUUCUGUUUUAAUUG